rnacentral:rRNA from 1 species
AACUUGCUCCCUGAUGUUAGCGGCGGACGGGUGAGUAACACGUGGGUAACCUGCCUGUAAGACUGGGAUAACUCCGGGAAACCGGGGCUAAUACCGGAUGGUUGUUUGAACCGCAUGGUUCAGACAUAAAAGGUGGCUUCGGCUACCACUUACAGAUGGACCCGCGGCGCAUUAGCUAGUUGGUGAGGUAACGGCUCACCAAGGCGACGAUGCGUAGCCGACCUGAGAGGGUGAUCGGCCACACUGGGACUGAGACACGGCCCAGACUCCUACGGGAGGCAGCAGUAGGGAAUCUUCCGCAAUGGACGAAAGUCUGACGGAGCAACGCCGCGUGAGUGAUGAAGGUUUUCGGAUCGUAAAGCUCUGUUGUUAGGGAAGAACAAGUGCCGUUCAAAUAGGGCGGCACCUUGACGGUACCUAACCAGAAAGCCACGGCUAACUACGUGCCAGCAGCCGCGGUAAUACGUAGGUGGCAAGCGUUGUCCGGAAUUAUUGGGCGUAAAGGGCUCGCAGGCGGUUUCUUAAGUCUGAUGUGAAAGCCCCCGGCUCAACCGGGGAGGGUCAUUGGAAACUGGGGAACUUGAGUGCAGAAGAGGAGAGUGGAAUUCCACGUGUAGCGGUGAAAUGCGUAGAGAUGUGGAGGAACACCAGUGGCGAAGGCGACUCUCUGGUCUGUAACUGACGCUGAGGAGCGAAAGCGUGGGGAGCGAACAGGAUUAGAUACCCUGGUAGUCCACGCCGUAAACGAUGAGUGCUAAGUGUUAGGGGGUUUCCGCCCCUUAGUGCUGCAGCUAACGCAUUAANCACUCCCGCCUGGGGGAGUACGGUCGCAAGA